GAGGUUUUCUGCCAUAUGCCGUGAGUCAGCAGGGGAUUUGAUCACCAUGGGCCGCUACAGCUUCAACAACCGAUUGUUCUUGCCGAUGUGCGCUCAUCCAAAGAUCGAUCCAAUCUCUGGCGAGCUCUUCGCGGUUAGCUUCAAUCCAGUGAUCAAUCCCCACCUCCGCUACUUCUGGGCGAGCCCGGACGGGAGGAAGAGCCCCGAUUUCGACGUGUGGCUGCCGGACCCGUGCUUACUUCGCGAUAACAGAGAACUACGCAGAGAAUCAGCUCGUGAUGAAGUUCCAGGAUGUAUUGCUCAAGAACAACCUGGUCAUUGAUGGAGAUACCGCCAAGGUUCCCAGAUUCGGGGUCAUCCCUCGCAUCCCGACUGUGGGAUCUCCCGGCAUUCGCUGGAUCGACAUCCCGGAUUGGACAUCAUUCCACUACAUCAACGCCUGGGAGGAAGGGACGGACAAGAUUGUCGUGCUCAGCUCGUCCAUUACGCCGGUGGAACAUCUGUUUGACGAUAUAUCAACGGAUUGUCCAACAGAUUGAACGAGAUCCACCUGGACCUUCGAUCUGGACGGUCGUGGAAGCAACACGUGUGCUCAGCCAGACUGGAUUUUGGACAGAUCAACCAGAAAUUCUUGGGGCGGAAGAAUUGGUACGUCCAUAUGUGCUACUAUGGGCCAUGGCCCAAAUUCUCGGGCCUGGCCAAGGUCGAUCUGGACGCUCCACGAGUGUGGUAAUUGACGGAACAAGUGACCCGGACCUCAACAAGCCGUGCAUUGUGGCGUCGAGGAGAUUCGAACGAGGUCAGUUUUGUGGCCAGCCUUUCUUUGUGACGAAUGGCGAGGAGGAAGACAAUGGAUACGUCUUAAGCUACGUCCACAAUGAGGAAAGUGGUGUCUCAGAGCUUUUUGGUCAUGGAUGCCAAAUCGCCAACUCUUGAGACAGUGGCUUCUAUAGAGUUGCCUGCUAGAGUUCCAUAUGGAUUCCAUGGGAUCUUUAUAAAUUCCGAUCAAAUAGCCAACCAGAACCAUGCCACCUUGUAAGAAAAUUUGUAAAUUGAUAUAUCUCUUGUAAAUAUCUAAUCCAUGUAACUAUGUGAGGAUUCGCAAUAAGAACAUAUGGAGCACUGUUACUUGGCUCCACACUAUGGUAUCACCCUGUGAUCUGGCAUUUUUUAAAAAUUCACAGCGUUUUCUCUAACCUUUGGUUGUUUACAUGCUGCCAGCAUGGUAGUCCACACACACCUUUGAUUCUUUAACUUUUCCAGAUGCCCUUUCCUGGCAUUAGAGCAAACCAGGGCAGCAUUACAUUGCAAGAAAAAGCGUCUGCAUUAAGAAAUUUUCUCAGCAAUUCUACUGUUGUUGCUCCAUGGACUCACUUUCCACCACGCCAAGCAUACAAGCACUUCUGAGGGAGCCCAAGAAAAUUCUCUUUGCCUUUUGCAAAUGCAGACUUUGGCAUAGAUACAAGACCCCCCUACUUGGCACAUUUGAUAGAAUCGUGCUCCAAGAGAUUAAGCUCCUUUCUGGCAUUACUUUAUCCAAAUGCCUGUUACUGGCAUAAUCAGGAACGUCGUCUGCUUGUUGGAGGAAUCCAUACCAAGAGAAGGCAGUGAUCAUGAUCGUCCCACUCGGGCAUUCAAUCAACCAGCUGCUUGGCCUGGUCAAGAGAUGUGAAGGUGAAGAGCAUGGCAUUCAACGAGAAUCAAUUCCUCAAUCUCAUGCCAUCUAUGCACCUUAUAUACACUGCACCACCAAAUUGGACGUCAGAUAAUUUCAUGCCGCAAGGAGGUGCUUGAUAUAUUUGUGGCUGGAGCAUCCCGUUAAACACCAUCUUGUUUUAGUCUCUGAUGUGAACUAUAGCAAAACUUUUUCACUAAUUGUCAAAAUAGCUAGUGUAUCUGGUCAAAGACCUAUCAAUGGUCAAGUGCGUCAAACGGUCAAUCAAUUAUUUUGGAAUCUUGACUGUGAGUCUUUCUCGGCACACUCCCAUUCGAUUACAUUCUUUCUUGUUCUUGGUGGAGACGUCCAACACUUCAGAAGUGCGACACGGUGGAGAAUUUCAUCUCCACGUACAUUGAUCUUCGCGAGUUUCCUCCCUCGCAAGACCCCAAGAUCCAGCUCGCGGAUAAUUUCGCGCCUGUUGGAGAGAUCCCGCCAACGCCGUGCCGCCGAGUCACUGGCGAGAUCCCUCGCUGCCUCCGCGGCGGUGCUUACAUCCGCAAUGGCUCCAAUCCACUCCAUCCCCCUCCCGCCGGCUACAACUACUUCGACGGCCACGGGAUGCUCCACUCUGUCAAGUUCGGCGAUGAAGAAGAUCAAGCUCCAGUCUACUGCGCGCGAUUCACCCAGAACAAUCGAUUCGUCCAGGAGCAAGCAGCGGGCAAGCCUCUCUUCCCCUACACGCUGGGCACCAUGAGCAGCUAUGCCGGGCUCGCACGAUUCGGGCUAUUCGUGAUGCGCACGGCUCUGGGCCUGAUCAAUAUCUUGGGCGGGAUGGGAACCUCCAACGCUGGGAUGGCCUACUUCGAUCGCCGAAUCCUGGCCAUGUCCGAGGAUGAUAUGCCAUAUGCCGUGAGUAUCACCCCAGCAGGGGAUUUGAUCACCAUGGGCCGCUACAGCUUCAACAACCGAUUGUUCUUGCCGAUGUGCGCUCAUCCAAAGAUCGAUCCAAUCUCUGGCGAGCUCUUCGCGAUUAGCUUCAAUCCAGUGAUCAAUCCCCACCUCCGCUACUUCUGGGCGAGCCCGAACGGGAGGAAGAGCCCCGAUUUCGACGUGUGGCUGCCGGACCCGUGCUUGUUUCACGACUUCGCGAUAACAGAGAACUACGCAAUCCUGCCAGAGAAUCAGCUCGUGAUGAAGUUCCAGGAUGUAUUGCUCAAGAACAAACUGGUCAUUGAUGGAGAUACCACCAAAGUUCCUAGAUUCGGGGUGAUCCCUCGCAUCCCAACUGUGGGAUCUUCCGGCAUUCGCUGGAUCGACGUCCCGGAUUGGACGUCAUUCCACUACAUCAACGCCUGGGAGGAAGGGAUGGACAAGAUCGUCGUGCUGAGCUCGUCCAUUACGCCAGUAAAACAUUUCUUUGACGAUUUCGCCAGAUUGUCCAACAGAUUGCACGAGAUCCACCUGGACCUUCGAUCUGGACGGUCAUGGAAGCAACACGUGUGCUCAGCCGGACUGGAUUUUGGACAGAUCAACCAGAAGUUCCUGGGGCGGAAGAAUCGGUACGUCUACAUGUGCUACUAUGGGCCAUGGCCCAAAAUCUCCGGCCUGGCCAAGGUCGAUCUGGACGCUCCACGGCUGCCCAGGGUGGUCAUCGACGGAACGAGUGACCUGGACCUUAAUGAGCCGUGCAUUGUAGCAUCAAGGAGAUUCGAACGAGGUCAGUUUUGUGGCGAGCCUUUCUUUGUGGCAAAUGGCGAGGAGGAAGAUGAUGGAUACGUUUUAAGCUAUGUCCAUGAUGAGGAAAGUGGUGUCUCGGAGCUUUUGGUCAUGGAUGCCAAAUCACCCACACUUGAGACAGUGGCUUCUAUAGAGUUGCCUGCUAGAGUUCCAUAUGGAUUCCAUGGGAUCUUUAUAAAUUCUGAUCAAAUAGCCAACCAGAACUAUGCCACUUUAUAAGAAAGUUUGAUAUAGUUGUAAAAUCUCUUGUAAAUAUCUAACCUAUGUAACUAUGUGAGAAUUGGCAAUAAGAACAUAUGAAGCACUGUUACUAGGCUCCAUACUAAUGGCAAUUUUCAUUGCAUCUCCACUUGCUGCAGCUCCAAGCACUUCCAAUCCAUGGAAUCCAGGUACACUACUCGUGUAUGAUUAGUCAGGGUAUAUCCAAAACACUGAGAAUCUUCUGUGGGAGAUGCCAUAUUAGCUUUAAGGGUUUGAUGGAGUGAUCAAACUAGAAAGACACAAAGAGAUGCUAAGCUAUAGCAUCAGUGCCUUUGUGGACACACAAAGUGAGUAAAGUUGUUAAGUUAGCUUCAUCAAGUGUAUUAAUCCUUCCAAUCGAAAUAUGGAUUGGAUGAUCUCACCUUCGCAAUAAUAUUUUAGGGCUGAGGCAGUACAGUGGAGAAAUUGAGUACAAAAAAGUUGCAAUGCUGACAAAAUAUAUGAACACUCAGAGGACCAAUAAUUGUGUGUCCAUAUAUGCUUGAAAUGCUUUUGCAUUCUGUUUUUAGUCCACUCCUUGUCUAAGGACCAUUGAAAAGAAUGUCAUCACUUUAUAUUCAAAUAUUUACACAUUUGAUGAUUUUAGAAUAUAUCUAUAAGAAUAUACUUAAUAUAUACCUAUUGAGGAUAUCCUCCCACUUCAUUUUUACCCUCAAACCUUCUUAACUCUAAAAUGAAGCAAUAAAGCUUGAAGAAGAGAUUGAGGAAUAAAUAAAAAUAAUGAAUAGUGAAUUUUGAAAAAAAAUUGACAUAUAGAUAUAAAUAGAGUAGAGAAUGUUAUUUUGAUGAAGGAACUCUUCACAAAAAUCUUGGUUAUUUCAGUAAGCAUGGUUUUUUAUAAAUGAUGAUUUUCCUAGCAAAAUGUGAUGGAGAAUCAUAUUCAAAAUUGACUUAACCUUAAGAUAUUGGAUGUGUAUAUGUUUUACUUACUAAAGGGCUUAUAAUGCCUUUUUUUUUUAUUAGUCAUAUAUUAGGUGUAGUUUCAAGUCCAAAGUCACAACAUUAUAGGAUAAAGGCAAAAUAACAAGUUUAUUUUUAUCAUAAUGUCAUUUAACAUUUAUAUUAAUAUUUUAGUGGAUAAAUGUAAAAACAAAUAAAACUUCUCUGUAUAAAACACCUUUAGAUGAUGCAAUAUAAAUCCUUGCAUAGAUAAGAAAGUACUCCCUACAUAAAAUAUCAACUAGCUUAGGCAAAUGACCUUAAUAAAAUAACAUAAAUUGAUUUUUUUUUUUUGUUAUUUUGACUAUGACUAGCAAAUUUUGACUUUUUUGCCUAACCAUUAACACCUAUUAUGAAAAUCAUGCUAUUUCAAUAUAUUAUGCCUAAUGUAUUGAGAGAGAUAGAGAGAGAGAGAAAUGAAGUAUAACCUAAAUGCCUAAGCAAGAACCUUCAUCCACAACACCCAUUGUCAUAUACAUGCAAUCACGUGGCUUUCAAAUUAUGUUAAAGUCAUUCAUCAAACAAGGUAGCCAAUUUGAUUAAGAUCAAAGCUAUAUAAAUUUCUUCCUAAACAUCAAUGGUAUAAGUGCUAAUUCCAUAAAGUUUUUGUAUAUAUGCCAUUUGUCCAAGAAAAAAUUUCACAGAUCUCAAAAGAAAAAUUAAGGUGUAUUCUUUGUUCUAACAUCCCUUUGUUAAAUAAGUAUUGUUCAAGUAUUUUUGUGUUGCUUGAUGCAUCAAACCUAGUGAUAAUAAGUAGCAUAUAGGCUUUGGAAUCCAGGCUGUGAGAGCUGGUGAUGGCAUUCUCUUUCCUGGGACAUUAUCUAAUGGUUUAUUUUUUUAUCAAGGUUUAGGAAUUAUCUCUGAAUUAUUCAAAAGUUAUUUAGGAAUAAUCUUCUAGUUUGAGUGUUUGAAGUUAAAUCUAGGGUUUAGGGUAGACACCAUUAAAUGUCAAGCAAUAUAAUGUUCUCUAGAUUGAUCAAUUUUGGGAAAUCUUGUAGCUUUGGCAUUUCCAACUAUUACUGGGGAUAGAGUGUAGAUUUGCAAAGACUUUUGUUUGCCAAGGUGCACCAUUGCUCUAGAGUGUGUUAUCAUAGCACUAGUUCUAGAUUGCAUCACAAGACAUAAGCACUAAGAAUAUAGCUUAGAUUAAUGCUUGCUAGGGUUAGAAUUUUUUAGAGAGUUUAAAAAUUUAUGGAAGAAAGUGGUGUUAUUACUUUGUCUUGUGCUUGUAGUUUUCCCUCAUCUUUUGAGGUUUAAAACAUUUUUCUAUUUUCUUUACCCCCUAUUCUCAAGUAGGAAACAUAUGCAUAAAGAUGCUAUGAAGGUCAUUAACAAUUAAGUUUAAAAUCCAUCAUGUUCAUAGGUGGAAAUGCAUUUGACAAGGCUUGAGCAAAUAUGUCUGCACUCAACUUGUCUCAAAAACCAUACACAUAAGGUUUGAGAAAAGAAGAUCUCCAAAGUUGUUUAUUCAUAUAUCUCAAUUAGUUAUUGGAUCAGUGGCUUUUAUUAAAACCCCUAAUAAUACUUAAAUUUUAGAUUAUGCAACACCAAGAAUAUACUUUAAAAAAACAAUUAAACCUUUACUCUAAAGGUAUAUAAUAGAUUUUUUAACCCUUUAAGUGAUCCUACCCUAAAUAAAUGUGACCAUUUUAGACUAAUUUCUCUUUUGCAAACUAGGAUUUCUAUCAGUGACACCAAUGUAGUUGGCAUAUUUACUUUAAAAUUCACUCUGGGACCUUCAUCACUCACACAACACCAAAGCUAUAAGAUAGAUACUUCACUAAAAUUUUUAUAAUUAUCUCUCAAAAAGUUCAUAGGAUGGCUAUUCAAGAUGAGAGGUACUUUAGAAGAAGUUACCAAAUUUAUAACACUAUUGUUGACUCUAUAAUAUGAGUUUAAAUGAGAUUCACAACAUAGUUGCAACACUAGCUAACAAGAGCAUUGUCCAGGAUUGGGAGCACUAAUGAUUUAAAGUAGAAAUUAUAAGCCAAAAUUCCUAGAAUAAAAAAUAGAAAAUUUUUUAAAAUAAAUAAAAUUGGCAAAAAUACAUAUUAAGAAUAACUAGAAUUGUUAAUAAAAAUGACAAUGAAGACAAAAAAUCACUAAAACUUCACCAUGUACCAUAAUUCUAUCUAAUGAAAUUCAAAUCAUUCUUCCUAAAAUUUUAUAUAAAAUUUCUAACAGUGUAACUUUAUUUUAGAAUAAUGCUUAUAUAUAGUUUUUUCUCAAAAUCCCACAUAUAAUUGCAUACAUAAUCUUAAAUACCCAUUGUAGGAUUUUUAGUGUAACCCCCACUUUACUACACCUCAAUUAAUUGCCACAAGGUGAGGAUUAUAUUGAAAAAUGCAUUAGGAGGGGUAGUAGGCAGAUUAGUGAAGCCCAAGGUUAGAUUUUACAUGAAUAAUAGCCUAGAUUUCACGUGUGCUCAUCAAAAAUAGAAAUGGUUAACUUCAGUGAUCAAUCCCCACCUCCGUUACUUCUGGGCAAGCCCAGAUGGGAGGAAAGAGAUGAAUUUUUAAGAUGUAGUGCUCAAGAACAAACUGGUCAUUGAUGGAGAUACUACCCAAGGGUCCCAGAUUGAUCCUCCCUCGCAUCCCAGCUGUGGGAUCUUCCAGAUCGACGUUUGGAUGUAAUUCCACUACAUCCACACCUGGGAGGAAGGGAUGGACAAGAUCGUCGUGUCCAUUACGCCAAGGUUCACGAACCUCAUCUUUAGCAGCGUCUUCGUCCAGGUGGGCACCUUAUUCCUCAACCAGGGCGACAUCAUGGAGCGGCAUCUGGGGCGAUUCCAGAUCCCAGCCGCCUCCUUCACGCUCUUCAUCACCCUCACCAUUUGCAUCAUCAUGCCGCUCUACGACCGCUGCUUCGUGCCAUUCGCGCGCCGGAUCACGGGGAACGAGCGAGAGAUCACGAUGCUCCAGCGCAUCGGGAUCGGCCAGGUCAUCUCCACGGUCUCCAUCGCUCGCCGCGCUGGUGGAGAUGAAGCGCUUGGGAGUGGCUAGGCAACACGGUCUGUUGGAUGGCCCCCAGUCGACGGUCCCGAUGAGCGCAUUCUGGCUCUUGCUGCAGUGAGUUUGCGAGGUUUUCAUCUCCGUCGGCCAGAACGAGUUCUUCUACGAUCAAGCCCCGGAUUCCAUGCGAAGCAUUGGAGUGGCGCUCUAUCUCGGCACCAUCUCCAUCGGGAGCUUCAUCAGCAGCUUGUGGUGGUCAAGUUUACAAGUACAAAAGGUGGCCGGGUUGACGGCAGCUGGACCAAACAAUCUCAACAGGGCUCACAUUGAUUACUUCUACUGGCUGCUGACUAUUCUAUCAACCUUGGGAUAUAUGUCUUGUGUGCGAGGUGGUAUACUUACAAGCAUGUGGGAGAUAUUGCAAUUUGAUCAUCAAGCGAUCCUAGUAACAUGUUCUGCAGCAGUUUGUGAGACGAGAGCAUACCAGGAGAGACCAAGAGAAGGGUUAAGCGGCUGGGGACAAGCUAUCGCAAUAGCGAUGAUGUGAUAUCACUACCACCACCAUAAUAAGAUACUUAUUGUUAUAUCUUUUAAAUAUGACCAUAAGUUUAGCUCAAAGUUUGAACUGUAGAAAAUGAGAACAGUCGAACUAUGAUUUUGAAGUGGUGAGGCUCACCUCAAGUUCUGAAGUGCUAGGGAUUCCAAGCUUAGCCCUUUGUAGUGUUGUAGGAAAGAAAUGUUUGACUUGCUUUUGAUCAACUGUGAAAACACAGACCCUAGCAUGAGAGAACUGUUGAAGGAGGUAUCCAGUGAGUUGGAGUGGCCAAGAAAGAUUUCUGGUAACUUGUGCUGGCUAGCUCCACAAAGCUUAGAAAGCUGUACGGAAUCCUUUUGUCAACAGGUGGGAGAAUCUUUGCAUGAUUUUGCAAAUGGUGGUGGCAACAACCAAGAAGAUUAGAGGCGGAUUCUAACACAGCCAAGAAGCUAGGAGAGAGAGAAUUGUUGGCAGGCAACACACAACGUCUUCUUGGUGUUACAAGCUGGUGGCUUCAGAAGAGUGCCCUAGAGCUGCUGGGGACAAGCCGGACGAGCUUGAGAGCAGGCAAGAAAAAAAAAGAUCCCCAAAUAAAGAGAGGAAGCGUUUCUUUUUUACCUUGACGUUCAAGUUGUUUCACUGCUCUUUUUUCCACUCAUUAAUUCAUUAAUUUAUUCAAACGGUUUACAUGGUCUCACUGAAGCAUUAGACCAAAACUCUCUCUAGAAAAGAGCAAACUUUAGGAUGCUUGCCUGAAUUUCUUUCGAUAAGAUGAUCUAUUUUUGGUUUGCAAGAUGGAUACCUAGAAUAUCCUUUAAUUUAACUGGGCGGGGAGUGGUCCAGCUCACGACAGUUAGGGCAUGUCCUGUGUAUCCUAAUAUAUUUAUCAUCAUUUAGAUUAAUCUUAAAUUAUAACAUUUUUUCUCUCUAAAUUUAGUGCCUUUGUUUAUUAGAACGGAUAGACAGCCUGGAAUCUUGGUAAGCAUUGCUGGUAGGAUUUUUUUCUUUUGUUUUUGUGAAUUUUUGCGAAUUGCUGCUUGGAUUUACACCAUUGCCUAGAACCUAAUUAUCUCACUGCCACGUCAGCUGGAGCACCCCGGCUCUUCAACACAUGGUCUUGGAGCUUUCCGCAUCCUAUACUCGGUCCAUAUAUCCAAAGAGCUGUUCUAAUUGUCACUGAGCAAAUAACAACAUAACGCAAAGAGAUUAACAGGCUUGAAAACUUAGUGUUUAACAGGGGUUGAAGCUUGUCCAUACUCUCAACCAACAAUUGACACAGACUUCAACAAAUAUUUUGUAUCUGGAUGAAACCUGUCGUGGAAGACAUUUCAUGGUUUAUACCUAAUGCUCUAUCUGCGAACGUGAAACUGCUAUGGACGGAUCUUCAGAAAGUUUUAUCCUUUAGCAGGGACAAAAAUCGUCACGAACAUCAGAAUUUAAGAGAAUAAAGACAGGAAAAUGAUGAACAACAGCAAAAGUUCCACGCUGCCAAUUCUUCGCUAGUCAAAUCGCAGCAGAACUAUCUUAAUUCUGCUCAGAAAGAGAAAAAAAUGCUACAAUGCACAUCAAGCAAACUAAAAUUCGCAUCCAAAUAUUCUCUUAGCAAAACGUGAUCCGGCCUUUUUUCAACAUUCACAGCGCUCCCUCUAACCUUUGGUUGUUUACAUGCUGUCAGCAUGGCAGUUCACAUCGUCAUUUCACACAUUCGAUGCUUUAACUUUUCCAGCUGUAAUAAAAGCAAACCAGGGCAAGAAACAAGACCAUAUCCCUACAUAAUCGUGCUCCAGGAGAUUAAGCUCCUUUCUGGCAUUAGCUCGUUGUUUUAUCCAAAUGCCUGUUACUGGCAUAAUCAGGAACGUCUUCUGCUUGUUGGAGGAAUCCAUACCGAGAGAAGGGCAGUGAUCAUGCUCGUCCCACUCGGGCAUUCAAUUAACCAACUGCUUGGCGACAUUCCACGAAAAUCAAUUCCUCAAUCUAGAGCCCCAAAGGACUUGCCAUUAUGGGCAUCCACACCUCAUAUACAUUGCACCACCAAAUUGGACGCCAAACAAUCUCCCGCAGCCGAGGAGGUGGCUGGAUGUGGGUAAAUUGGAUAUGGUUCUUUAUAACAUCCAGCGAAACCUCGCUUGCGAACGCAUGACCACCUAAAAUUACAUUAUUCUAAAGCAGAGAUGAUAUUUCGUGUGGGGGGCGUUAGGAGACAUGAAUCUAGAUUGAAGCUUUGUUUUUGGUCCACUCGUGCCCGUCUAGGAAGCAUGGGACCUUACCUUUUCAUCCCCUCCAAGAAGCAUGCCGACACACAAUUAUUGGUCUCACGCAUUGUUUCCAUUCAAGUAGAAUCCUCAGAGUAAGCCCUAAAAUAUUGAUCUUAUCUAUGCGUGUGGCUCAAGACCAUCCAAUCCAUAGCUCUAAAAUUCGAUUGGAGGGAUCAAUAUAUUUAGGUAUGCCAAUUGCACAGUUAAUUUGGUCGCAAUGCAUGCCACACUGUCUGGGCCUGAUCAAUAUCUUCGGCGGGAUGGGAUCGAAGUAGGCCAUCCCAGCGUUGGAGGUUUCGCCGAAUUCUGGCUAUGUCCGAGGAUGAUAUGCCAUAUGCCGUGAGUAUCACCCAGCAGGGGAUUUGAUCACCAUGGGCCGCUACAGCUUCAACAACCGAUUGUUCUUGCCAAUGUGCGCUCAUCCAAAGAUCGAUCUAAUCUCUGGCAAGCUCUUCGCGGUUAGCUUCAAUCCAGUGAUCAAUCCCCACCUCCGCUACUUCUGGGCGAGCCCGGACAGGAGGAAGAGCCCCGAUUUCGACGUCCCGUGCUUACUUCGCGAUAACAGAGAACUACGCAGAGAAUCAGCUCGUGAUGAAGUUCCAGGAUGCAUUGCUCAAGAACAAACUGGUCAUUGAUGGAGAUACCGCCAAGGUUUCCAGAUUCGGGGUCAUCCCUCGCAUCCCGACCGUGGGAUCUCCCGGCAUUCGCUGGAUCGACGUCCUGGAUUGGACAUCAUUCCACUACAUCAACGCCUGGGAGGAAGGGACGGACAAGAUUGUCGUGCUCAGCUCGUGGAACAUCUGUUUGACGAUUUUGCCGGAUUGUCCAACAGAUUGCACGAGAUCCACCUGGACCUUCGAUCUGGACGGUCGUGGAAGCAACAUGUGUGCUCAGCCAGACUGGAUUUUGGACAGAUCAACCAGAAAUUCUUGGGGCGGAAGAAUCGGUACGUCCAUAUGUGCUACUAUGGGCCAUGGCCCAAAUUCUCGGGCCUGGCCAAGGUCGAUCUGGACGCUCCACGGGUGCCCAGUGUGGUAAUCGACGGAACAAGUGACCCGGACCUCAACGAGCCGUGCAUUGCGGCGUCGAGGAGAUUCGAACGAGGUCAGUUUUGUGGCCAGCCUUUCUU
rnacentral:lncRNA from 1 species